ensembl:lncRNA
AGUUUGUCAAUAAAGAUUUAGUUUGUUUUUUCUAUGAAACUUCCGUAACUUGGUUUAUUUCUUGAAUAUUUUUAAAUAACCUUUAACAGCCUGGUAGUUAGAGGUGUUGUUAUUUGUAUUUCUCUACAAAAACACUCUUUUUUUUAAAUUUAAAUGAUUUGUAUUGUAGUCUGAAGCCCUUGACGUAUAUACUAAAUGAUGUCUUGAUUGAUUUAUUUAAAAAGCAACACAACUUAUUCUUUCUCUCUCUUUCUAUACUUUUUAAAAAGGAGCCAGAGGUAAGAGCUCUAAAAUAACCUGGAUAGCUUCCUAAUGUGUUUUAAAGCUCUAAAGCAUUGAGUGCCUUGGGUAUGUAUAAAGACUUUUUCAAUCCAUCUUACCUGUGGUCGUAGACGGUAAUGAGAAAUGCAUUGCUAAGACUCUUGUUAAUAAAUGAACUGGACUCCAACCAUUUGAAGUCUUAGGUUUCAGGCUUUGACCUCGAUGUUCAUGUCAUGUGUAGAGGCCGACGCGGUGGCUUCUUUAGGAAAGAGAGUAAUGGCGGUGCAAUGGAGAGGUUGGUUUAAACCGUAAUCGUUCCACUAUAAAGGUCCAACUAUUAGUCAGUCAUGGACCAAUCAGAGGGUGGCUUACUGGAGAGAGAGAACCAAUCAMAGGUCGGCUUACUGGAGAGAUGAUACCAUACAUACCUCAGAACCCUACACGCUGUCCGGAACCCUACGCGCUGUCCAUAACCCUACGCGCUGUCCAUAACCCUACACGCUGUCCGGAACCCUACGCGCUGUCCGGAACCCUACGUGCUGUCCGGAACCCUGGGCGCUGUCCGGGAACCCUGGGCGCUGUCCGGAACCCUGGGCGCUGUCCGGAACCCUGGGCGCUGUCCGCAACACUGGGCGCUGUCAGAACCUGUAAGUCUCUCUUUUAUAAGGCUCUUGUGGAGGUUAGGUUCCAAGCCUUCACAGCCAAGUUGGCGUGUUACACUUGUACUAUAGUUGGGGCUUUUGGUACAUUUCGUAGCACCACCCUGGAGAGCCAAGGAUCAUGCUGCAGUGAUAACAGGACUUGAUCUGCGUCCCACCCUAUUCCCUAUGUCGUGCAAUAUAAAGGGAAAAUGGGGCCAUUUGGGACGCAGACCUGCUUUCUCAUAGACCCUUUCCCCAAUAGCUGUUCUCCAGUAGCCAGUCCCAGUCAGUGAGUAUGCUCAGUUGGUGUCAGCUGUUACCUUGGGAACAGGACUAAUGAGAAUGUACAGAUUCUAGAUUUGUGAGGCUGUGACAGGACCGGAACCAUGGCGUCCUGGGGGGUUGUGACAGGACCGGAACCAUGGAGCCCUGAGGGGUUGUGACAGGAACGUAACCAUGGAGCCCUAGGGGGUAUUAACAGGACAGUAACCAUGGAGCACUGCGGGGUUGUGACAGGACAGUUACCAUGGAGCCCUGGGGGGUUUUGACAGGGUAGUAACCAUGGAGCCCUGGGGGGUUGUGACAGGACAGUAACCAUGGAGCCCUAGGGGGUUGUGACAGGAAAUUGAACCUGCAGGAAAGGGCUACUAGCAGUAAAAAUUUCAAGUGACAAUAACAUCAGAACUAUGUUGCGAAGCUAGUUUUUCUUAGCGGUGGGUGGUGAUUUUAAAUGAGCUGUUCUUCAGCCCUUCCUGGUAUAGCCAGAUAGAUGGCUGUUGUUGAAGUAGAGGGGAGGAAUGACCAACCAUCCUCUUGGAGAGGUAAACUUGAUCCAAUGCUCAUUUAUACUGCCAAUAAAGAUCCUGGUCAGCUAAUAGUCUAAUACUUGAGUGGAAUGUUGAAUAUAUUAAUGUAGAUUGGUUCUUGUUCUCCUUCCUCGAGGCAUGUUGAAUAUAUCAAUGUAGAUUGGUUCUUGUAAGAAUGAAUGCUAACAUAAUUGUUUGGUUGUGUUCUCUUUGUUCCCCUCUGCAGUGAGGUGGUGCAGGAGCCGCAGGGCUCUACAUGACAGAGCACUGGAUCGCCGUCAGGCUCCACAGUGAAGAACUGACCCAGUAGAGGGCACCAAUACUGGGGUAGAGCAGUCUGGAAGGAGGGCAGGCUGCCCAGAGGACCAGAGAGCAGAUGUAGCCUACAGAGGAGAGAGAAGGGAGCCUUGGCCCCGCUAGAAAAAGAAGAGGGGUGGUUCUAUGAGGCUCUGUAUUAGAAUCUGGAUGAGGGGAGAAGAUUCUGGAAUGUGAAGCUAUGACACAUUACUGUGAAGCUAUGACACAUUACUGUGAAGCUAUGACACUUUAUUGUGAAGCUAUGACACUUUAUUGUGAAGCUAUGACACUACUGUGAAGCUAUGACACUACUGUGAAGCUAUGACACUACUGUGAAGCUAUGACACUUUACUGUGAAGCUAUGACACUUUACUGUGAAGCUAUGACACUACUGUGAAGCUAUGACACUUCAAAUCAAAUCAAAUCAAACCACUUUAUUGUGAAGCUAUGACACUUUACUGUGAAGCUAUGACACUUUACUGUGAAGCUAUGACACUACUGUGAAGCUAUGACACUUUAUUGUGAAGCUAUGACACUUUACUGUGAAGCUAUGACACUACUGUGAAGCUAUGACACUUUACUGUGAAGCUAUGACACUUUACUGUGAAGCUAUGACACUUUACUGUGAAGCUAUGACACUUUACUGUGAAGCUAUGCUUGCGAUGUCUAUGUUUGACUGUGGUGUUUUGAUACCGUACUGCUUAUUCACUGCUAGGCACUUUUAUAUUGUUUUGUAAUGUGAACAGUUUCCAAGACCUUCUACAGUUUGUAGUAAGUGAAACUUCAUUGUUAUGGAAAUGUACUAUGACAAUGACCACCCAGGCUGUAACCAGCUGUGAAAUUGGUUUUAAAUGUCCCUUUAAUUCUUUAAUNNNNNNNNNNNNNNNNNNNNNNNNNCUUGGUUGCUUUUACCAACAUUGUUAACAUUUGCAAGGCAGCCCCCCCCCACACCCCCUUUCAUAAACACGUAGUUGUUAAUUAUACUCUUUAACAGAUACAGUCUGUGUCCAUGUCGUUUUGUCUUUAUGGUUUUAAAUAUCAGGGUAAAUGAUGCUAUGUGCUUGUGAAAUCAGACGCCCCCCUAAAGGUGAAUCCUGUUUCUUUUGGCUCGAGUCCUCUGCUGCUCGCCACGUCGUUCAACACACACACACCACAACACACACACACACACGCACACACACCACACACACACACACACACACACACACACACGCACGUAAACACACCAAUCCCUGGCUAACCCAGCCUAUGUUGCCUAAAGAUAUGAAAUGCUAAUGUGAACUGUAUUUGCAUGUCCUUUCCGCUCAAAUGUGCAAAGCUUUCGCAACAAAUGUUGGCUUGCUCAACGUCCAAGUCUGUAAUGCGUGAGAUCUGGCUGUGAGGAUGUGUGUGUAAGGGAGAUAGGUUACCAGCAUUUGCUCUCUACCUCUCUCUGGCUCCUCCGCUGACCCCCCCCACCCCUUCUCUCUGUCUCUCGUACUCUCUCCCUUCCUCCUUUCUCUCCUGUUCUCCCCACGACUCCCUCCCACCUCCUUUCUUCCCAUACUCCAUCCCUUUCUCUCCUGCUUCCCCCAGACUCCCUCCCUACCUCUUUCUUCUCGUACCUCCAUCCCUUCGCUCCUGUCUCUCGUACUCUCUCCCACCUCUUCUCCCCUGUCUCCAUCCCUUUCUCCCUGUCGCCAUCCCUUUCUCCCCGUCUCCAUCCCUUUCUCGUCCUCCAUCCCUGUCUCCUGUCUCUCGGACCUCUCCCUACCCUCCUUCUCUCCCCUGUCCCAUCCUUUCUCUCUCCUGCUCUCCCCAGACUCCCUCCCUACCUCCUUUUCCCCCUGUCUCCCACCUCCCUGGCUCCUCCCAGCGCCCUCCCUACCCCGCUCCCGACAUCCAUCCCGCUCCCUCCGCCCCAGAGCCCCUCCUACCUACUUCUCCUGUCUGCCAUUCCCUGUUCUCUUCGUCUGUACUUUCCCUACCUCCUUUCUCCCCUGUCUCACCCUUUCUCUCCUGCUCCUGCCUCCCAGCCUCUCGCACUACCUCCUCUCCGCCCAUGGCCACCCUUUCUCGCUUCCCCAGACUUCUCCCUACCUCCUCGUUCUCCCCUGUCUCCAUCCCUUUCUCUCCG